AAAAUUUCAGAACCAAACCCUCGUUUCAACUGCUUGCUGCCUUCUUCCUCUUCGCGGUGACCCUCCGCUUCUUCCCCUACCCUUGAGGCUUUGCUCUCAAAAAUCACUGCCGUCACUGAUGACGACAUCACCACUGUUGCUCCUCUUCAUAAUCAUCACCCUGUUCCUAAUCAGUUCCCGCAGGUGUCCGCCGUUGAAGGCUCAUCCUCCUCCACGGCUGAGUCUUUUGCCAAUGGGAUCAUGCUGCGGUGGCAAGUGGAGUCUCAGCACCCUCGUUAUCAUCAGGAGGCAGUGGUGGUGAAGGAGAAGGGGCAGUUGUGCUGGCAAAGGGGAAGAGAAGGGCGGUGGAGGAACCGGUGGACAAGGCCAGCCUUCAGAAACAGGUUCACUAUUCCUGGAAAUUUCACUAUUGGGGGCUUUACUGAAUUAAAAUUGAGAUUUUUCUUCUCUUUUAUUGAUUAAGUUGGUUGACUGCAAGCUGAAAAGAAAAAGAAGAGGUUGAAGGAGAAGAAGGAGGUGCUUGAUGAGAAUGAGUGGUGGGACAAGAUAGGGAAGAUGAAGAUGCUUGGGAAAAGAAGGAGGUAGAGUAUAUCUACUCUUUGCCUGAUUAUCGUGCAGAUCUUGAUGAGCGUCAUGGAUCAACACAGAAGAAGAUUAGAAUGUCUACAGACAUUGAACAAAGAGUAGGAAAUCUUUUGAAUAACUCACAAUCAGUGGGGGAAGCGUUUGCUAGUUUUCCUUCUGUAUCCACUGACUUGGGACAGAAACAAUCAUUAACUGUUACGAAAUCUCUCUCUUCACAACAUAGUGAUUCUUCAAAGGAUAAAUUUAAUGUUGCUCUAAAGGAAAGGCAGGAACAACACAGCUUGCACAAUUCAUUCUGGAAGAGGAAAUAGGAUCUUUGCGCUGGGGUUUAUUGCGAACUAAUUUGUACUCAACCUUGUUGUAAUUUAUAUUAUUUGAUACUAGUUUUUUUUGCCUAUUUUAUCGAGUUGUUUAACAAUAUUUGGAUCUUAUGCAACAAUGUUAUUUGAUUUUUUUCUUAAGAGUUUACAAAUUAGCUUA